rnacentral:rRNA from 1 species
CCUACGGGCAGCAGCAGUGGGGAAUAUUGGGCAAUGGGCGCAAGCCUGACCCAGCAACGCCGCGUGAAGGAAGAAGGCUUUCGGGUUGUACACUUCUUUUGACAGGGAAGAGCAGAAGACGGUACCUGUCGAAUAAGCCACGUCUAACUACGUGCCAGCAGCCGCGGUAAUACGUAGGUGGCAAGCGUGGUCCGGCUUUACUGGGGGUAAAGGGCGUGUAGCCGGGCUGACAAGUCAGAUGUGAAAUCCGGGGGCUCAACCCCCGAACUGCAUUUGAAACUGUUGGUCUUGAGUAUCGGAGAGGCAGGCGGAAUUCCUAGUGUAGCGGUGAAAUGCGUAGAUAUUAGGAGGAACACCAGUGGCGAAGGCGGCCUGCUGGACGACAACUGACGGUGAGGCGCGAAAGCGUGGGGAGCAAACAGGAUUAGAUACCCCUGUAGUC